UGAGGAACAUGACCUUCGGCGGGGGAUAGCCGGCCCAACGGCCGGGUAAUACCGCGUACGACCACAUGGGGACAUCCCUGAGUGGUGAAAGCAGCAAUGCGCCGAUGGAGUGCCUCGCGGCCUAUCAGCUAGUUGGUGGGGUAAUGGCCCACCAAGGCAUCGACGGGUAGCUGGUCUGAGAGGAUGGCCAGCCACAUUGGGACUGAGAUACGGCCCAGACCUCUACGGGAG
rnacentral:rRNA from 1 species